rnacentral:rRNA from 1 species
GACGAACGCUGGCGGCGUGCUUAACACAUGCAAGUCGAACGGAAAGGCCCUGCUUUUGUGGGGUGCUAGAGUGGCGAACGGAAGAGUGACACGUGAGUACCCUGCCCUGGAUUUUGGGAUAACUUCAGGAAACUGGGGCUCAUACCGGAUAGGAGCUCCUGCUGCAUGGAGGGGGUUGGGAAGUUUCGGCGGUUGGGGAUGGACUGGCGGCUUACCAGCUUGUUGGUGGGGGAGUGGCUAACCAAGGCUUUGACGGGUAGCCGGCUUGAGAGGGUGACCGGCAACAUGGGGACGGCAAGCGGGCCCGGGCUCCUACGGGGGGCAGCAGUGGGGAAUAUUGCACAUUGGGCGGAAGCCGGAUGCAUCAACGCCGCGUGCGGAUUGACGGCCUUCGGGUUGUAAACCGCUUUCGCCUGUGACGAAGCGUGCGUGACGGUAACCUGUAAAGAAGCACCGGCUAACUACGUG